UGCGGAGGUCUUGCGAUUUGUUCCGCUUAAAAAUCUCGUCGCUUUUGAGCAAUAAAUAAAAGGGGAUCCUGUGUGGCAGAGCAUACUGUGUUUUCCUCCAGGACUUCUAGUCAGCCAACAGGAUGAAGAUCCUUAGUUUGAUGCUGUUGCCUCUCCUCGCGGCCGCCGCCUGGGCGAUGCCCCAGUCCUCCGAGCAAGACGACACCCAAAAACGAAUGGUGUUCGGUCUUCCCCAGAACCCAUAUCCUUCUAUGGCACAGGCUCCUUAUUCAAACCUCCUCUACCCUCAGCAGAACCUCCCCUACACUAUGCCGCAACUUUACUUCUAACAGUAAAUUAUUCUGUAGGAUCGUGGUCUUUUCAGGUGUAGUUAAAACACAUGCCUUGAUCGAGCAAUUCGGAAAAGCACGUUUGGCAAAUUGCUUCAUAGCUGCCAUCAGAAUUGGGCUUAACGUUGUGCCAACUCCUCUUUUGAUUUGCAAAGUGUGAAAGUGUUUAAGUUCGAGUCGUCACUAAUGUAAAGAAACUGCAAUAAAAAAAUGAAAUGAAUAAUAUUAUUUUUCUUUACAGUAUUUUCUCAUUUGCAGCUUUCUCAUUUUUUCACAAAAAAAAAAAAAAAUAAUAC